UUUGGGAUCCUCCCGCCUCAGCCUCCCGGAGUACUGGGAUGACAGGCGUGUGCCACUGUGCCGGACUCAAUUGCUUUUAGCCGCAGAACAGGAAACAUGAAAAAAAAUAAAAAUAAAAAUGAACAGGAAACAUAAGGCUUCAAAGAAAGGUGAUCUAAUAAUUCCAUGGUUUCUGCUCUAGUUUAGUGUUCUUGACGCUUGGAUACUCCAUACCGAGAAACUGCAAUAAUCUGCUACUCGAAAACCAAACCGUGUUUCCCAGAAUCAUGCCUUUGUUCUCUGAAAGUGAUACAGCAAAACACAGAAGUGCAAAGUAGGACUCACACAAAUUUAAAUGUGAAGAAAUGUCAAUUAGCAGCCGGUGACGUAUGUGAUCAUGUGAGAUGCAUCAUUAAAUCCAUCUCAGACAAUGGAGUGCCUCUUCCUUGGAACUAGUGGUUCUGAUCAACCCCUAGAUUCUUAAUCCCAUGGAAAUAAUUUUUUUUUCCUAAUUAUAUGGUGUAAAGUACAUCCCUGUAGGAUAGAGAACACUGGUGAAAAGAUUUAUCAAAAAGGCUUUGGAUCUUUAAGAACCAUCACAUGUGGCAAUGAUUAUUAUUCCAGAACAGUUUCCUUGGUGACAAGAGCCGGGUGCUAGGCUUUCUCUCUUGGGCUACAGAUUUGGAGUCUAACUGGAAAUCUCCCAGUAACCCUGUGCAAAGCGACCAACUCCUUGGAUCCUACAGGUGCACAGCAAUAAACAGGAGAAGGUUUUUCCGCUGUACCAACACUGCGCAUCUGAGACCAGAAUCUGUUCCCAGGGAUGCGCUGCCAUCCUUCCCAAACCGCGCUAGAUUCUUUUAUUUUACCAUUCAGAUAGCAUAGCUGAUUCCCAAAGCAGAAAAUGGUAAACUAAUACUCAUCAAAACUCAGAAUCCCAGCUACACAGAAGGCUGAGACAGAAGAAUUGCAGAUUCAAGGCCAGCCCAGGCAAUUUAGCAAGGCCUGUCUCAAAGUAAAAAGGAUGCCUUCAGGAAACACAGCUCGGCGAGAUUCAUCUCAGAGCCACAGACUGCAUCGGCGCAUAACCUGCACGCUCACUGCAGACACCGCGACCAGCGCCAGCGUGGUGUUUAUCUCUGCUUUGCAGAAUGGCAGCAGUAGACUACCGCUGAACUUGGAAAUCACAGUAACUCCUCACUUGCAGAAAAUUUCUUUGACGACUACGUAGCGCGCGGGGGACGGGGGUGUCUCACAGAUUUAUUCUACUUUAAGAACUGACCUAGGAGGAGAAGAUAAGUUUUCUGAUCCUGCUUUCUUAAAUAAAUGUGGCCUGCAUUAC